UACGUAGGGGGCAAGCGUUGUCCGGAUUUACUGGGCGUAAAGCGCGCGUAGGCGGAAGAGUAAGCGUGGCUUGAAAGCCCCCGGCUCAACCGGGGGAAGGUGGCUGCGAACUGUUCUUCUUGAGGGCGAUAGAGGGGGGCGGAAUUCCUGGUGUAGCGGUGAAAUGCGUAGAGAUCAGGAGGAACACCCGUGGCGAAGGCGGCCCCCUGGGUCGGCCCUGACGCUGAGGCGCGAAAGCGUGGGGAGCGAACGGG
rnacentral:rRNA from 1 species